GAUGAACGCUAGCGGCAGGCUUAAUACAUGCAAGUCGAGGGGCAGCGCAGUGUAGCAAUACAUGGGCGGCGACCGGCAAACGGGUGCGGAACACGUACACAACCUUCCUACAAGUGGGGAAUAGCCCAGAGAAAUUUGGAUUAAUACCCCGUAACAUAGCGAUGUGGCAUCACAUUGCUAUUAUAGCUUCGGCGCUUGUUGAUGGGUGUGCGGCUGAUUAGAUAGUUGGCGGGGUAACGGCCCACCAAGUCUACGAUCAGUAGCUGAUGUGAGAGCAUGAUCAGCCGCACGGGCACUGAGACACGGGCCCGACUCCUACGGGAGGCAGCAGUAAGGAAUAUUGGACAAUGGACGCAAGUCUGAUCCAGCCAUGCCGCGUGAAGGAUUAAGGUCCUCUGGAUUGUAAACUUCUUUUAUAAGGGACGAAAAAAGGUCUUUCUAGAUCGUCUGACGGUACCUUAUGAAUAAGCACCGGCUAACUCCGUGCCAGCCGCCGCGGUAAGAC
rnacentral:rRNA from 1 species